rnacentral:rRNA from 1 species
GUAGUCAUAUGCUUGUCUCAAAGAUUAAGCCAUGCAUGUCUAAGUAUAAGCAAUUAUACCGUGAAACUGCGAAUGGCUCAUUAAAUCAGUUAUCGUUUAUUUGAUAGUACCUUACUACUUGGAUAACCGUGGUAAUUCUAGAGCUAAUACAUGCUGAAAACCCCAACUUCGGAAGGGGUGUAUUUAUUAGAUAAAAAACCAAUGCCCUUCGGGGCUCCUUGGUGAUUCAUAAUAACUUCUCAGAUCGCAUGGCCUUGCGCCGGCGACGGUUCAUCCAAAUUUCUGCCCUAUCAACUUUCGAUGGUAAGGUAUUGGCUUACCAUGGUUUCAACGGGUAACGGGGAAUUAGGGUUCGAUUCCGGAGAGGGAGCCUGAGAAACGGCUACCACAUCCAAGGAAGGCAGCAGGCGCGCAAAUUACCCAAUUCCGACACGGGGAGGUAGUGACAAUAAAUACUGAUACAGGGCUCUUUUGGGUCUUGUAAUUGGAAUGAGUACAAUUUAAACCUCUUAACGAGGAACAAUUGGGGGGCAAGUCUGGUGCCAGCAGCC